UUUAAAAGACAAAUACUAAAAAGUCCCUGUUCAGCCCAAAAUACCAAAAACUUUGCCCUUGCAGUCCUAGACUCCGUAAUACCGCCAUUGGACCACCACCUUUGGCUCUCACGUUCGCCUCACCAAAAGCUGUAGCUUUCUCCUCGCAGGCGCCAGCGGCAGUCUCACUCUGCCCCGUCGAACUUCGUUUUAAAGAUAUGGUUAUUUCAGCUUGUGACGUGUUCAUGCGUUUCUAUCUUAUUUGUUGAGAAUUAAUUGCAAUUUUAAUGCAACAUCAUGUGUUGGUCGAUGGGAAGGUGAGGACAGACAAGACAUAUCCUGCUGGUAGUUUCAUGGGUAUGCUUAUCUUUAACUUUGUAAUUAUACUGUUCAGGUUUCAAUAUUUUCAGUGUUGUUGCCGGCUGGGGGAAGGAUGAGCAUUGAACGUUCCACUAUGCACAGUUAGAUGUUGUGUCAAUUUCCAGAAGAAAUGAGAAUUUCCAGCUUCUUUUAUGGCACAAAAGGCUGAUUCCGUCUUCACUCAGUCAGGGAUGAAGAGCUAAGUAUUUGGAAUGUGAAGCAGACAAGAAAUCCACCCAACUUGUCCAUAUUCUUUCUAAGAUCAAUGCCAAAAAAAUCAUUAGUAUACGCUAUGACUUGUGCAUCUGUUGAGACUACCACGACUUACCAUUUUCAAGGGGGUUUUUCUUGAUCCCUCCACAUGGAAAGAUGAAACAAGUAACUUUUCAAGAAGGGGGUUUGUGCAUUCAGAUGUUGAAUGCUUCUUCCUUCUCUAACAUCCCUCUUUUGAAUCAAACACUAAUCUCACUUCUGCACAGAUUCAAAUCAAUGCCCGAACUCAAAAGAAUUCAUGCGCUGCUUUUCACUUCUGGCCUCUCUCAAGACGACGUUGCCAUUUCCCCACUUCUCUCCUUCUCCGCCCUCUCCCCCGCCGGCGAUCUCGAUUACUCCUACAGAUUGUUACUGAAUCUCCCCAAUCCCACCACCUUUAAUUGGAACACUCUCAUAAGGGGUUUUUCAAAUGUCAAAAACCCAAAUCGUUCGAUUACGCUCUUUGUCAAAAUGCUGCGAAAUGGGGUCACCCCGGAUUACUUAACGUACCCUUUUCUCGUAAAAGCGUCGGCACGUAUAUUGAAUUGGGAGCUCGGGAAGGCGGUGCAUGUUCAUGUUGCGAAAACAGGGCAUGAGAGUGACAAGUUUGUGCAGAAUUCAUUGAUCCACAUGUAUGCCUCUUGCAGAGAUAUCGCGUCUGCACGCAAGGUGUUUGACGAAAUGGCUGUGAAGAAUUUGGUGUCUUGGAAUGCUAUGUUGGAUGGGUAUGCCAAAUGUGGGGAUGUGGGUAUGGCCAAGGAGGUGUUUGAUUUAAUGCCUGAAAGGGAUGUUGUGUCCUGGAGCUCUUUGAUUGAUGGGUAUGUCAAGGGCGGGGAGUAUGGGGAGGCCAUGGCCCUGUUUGAGCGCAUGUGUUGUGUUGGACCCAUGGCUAAUGAGGUGACUUUAGUUAGUGUUCUGUGUGCCUGCGCCCAUUUGGGUGCGCUUGAAAAAGGGAGGAUGAUGCACAAUUAUAUAGUUGAGAAUGAGUUGCCAUUGACUAUUGUGCUGCAGACAUCUCUGGUGGACAUGUAUGCCAAGUGUGGCGCAAUACAUGAAGCUUUAUCCGUGUUUCGUGCAGGUUCAAUGCAACGUACAGAUGUUCUAAUUUGGAAUGCUAUAAUUGGAGGUCUGGCAACACAUGGGUUGAUUAAGGAGUCCAUGGAAUUGUUUUUAGAGAUGCAAAAGUUUGGGAUUGCACCCGAUGAGAUCACAUAUUUGUGCUUGUUAAGUUGUUGUGCUCAUGGUGGAUUGGUAAAGGAGGCUUGGUAUUUCUUUGAUUGCCUUCGUAAAUGUGGUAUGACGAUGAAGGUCGAGCAUUAUGCUUGUAUGGUGGAUGCCUUAUCACGAGCUGGUCAGGUAGUAGAGGCUUAUCGAUUCCUAUGUCAAAUGCCUGUGGAGCCAACAUCGUCAAUGUUAGGUGCUCUCAUGAGUGGCUGCAUGAAACAUGGUAAACUAGACCUUGCAGAAGUAGUAGGAAGGAGGCUUGUUGAGUUGGAUCCUAAUCAUGAUGGUAGAUAUGUCGGCUUAUCGAAUAUAUAUGCCGUUGACAAGCGUUGGGAUGACGCCAGAAACAUUAGAGAAGCUAUGGAAAAGAGGGGAGUGAAGAAAUCUCCUGGUUUCAGUUUUGUUGAAGUAUUUGGAUUCCUUCAUAGAUUCAUUGCUCAUGAUAAAACGCACGGUGAUUCUGAACAAAUUUACAUGAUGCUGAACUUACUUAUAGAUCAAAUGAAACCGGUUAAAGAUUCUGAAAAUCAAGAGUAUUGUUUGUAUUGACAUCGUAAACGUCUCUUGAUUCCGUAAACACAUCAACUAUCGUGGGUUUUCUGAGAUAUUCCACUUCUAGGUUCCUUCCAGCUCGUGGUAUUCUUUAUUGUGUUCUAAUCAUUGCCUCAAAGCUUUUGUGAGGAAAAGACAAAGGUCUUUAAGUUUAUCAUUGAAGCAUUUUCAUUAAAUUAAUUGUAAAAAAAGGCUUCAGUCAUUGGAAUUCCUCCACAUGGACUUUUCUCACAAGAAUCAACAAAAAUAUCUCACCACUUGUCUUGUCAUUAAAUAUCUUCCUUCCACUUUUUUAGGGCCAUAUUCAACUCACAAGCAUCUUUAUUCUCUUCCCUUAUCCUUUUGAAAACUAGGAAGAUGUGGUGCCGCAUGGCUUCCUCUGUACACACACAGCUGCAACAAGACACCAUCCAAUUCCAAGAAAAUUGGGUCUGUACAACUCUUCUACUUCCAGGAAUCUUUAUGGCAACACUAUGUCACGCAGGGCCACUGCUUCUUCAAUCACAGACUUUGAUCUUUAUGAUCUUCUUGGUAUCGACUACACCUCCAUUAUUUGCUGGAAAAACUUCUGCUGUUGAUUCUGUUGAAGGGAGAGCUAGAGCUGUUGCACAGUGGGCUGAUCCUAUAUAAAAAAAUAAUGUAGGGCAUUAAACCUUGCCCAGUUGACUGCAUUUGUAUGGGCUGCAGCUACAUAUUAUUGAUCUCGACCCCUAAUAGACUUGUGGUGGUGGUUGGCAUGAAGAUUACCUCACUGGUGGAGAAGUACCAGAUUUCUACAGAACCAUAUGAUAAACGUGAUGGUUAGUUUCUUGCAAAGCUUUCCGUACCAUUUGAAAGCUUGUACGUAAUUGCAACGAUUGCUCGUCGAAUAGAAAGCUCUCUCUGCACUAAACGACCCCUCUGGCCCCAAUGGGCAAUUGUGCAUCAGUGCCAAGAAUUAUAGUAUCAAAAGGCUUAGAUUUUGGUCU